rnacentral:rRNA from 1 species
AUUGAACGCUGGCGGCAUGCCUUACACAUGCCAGUCGAACGGCAGCACGGGUGCUUGCACCUGGUGGCGAGUGGCGAACGGGUGAGUAAUACAUCGGAACAUGUCCUGUAGUGGGGGAUAGCCCGGCGAAAGCCGGAUUAAUACUGCAUACGAUCUACGGAUGAAGGCGGGGGCCCUUCGUGACUCGCGCUAUAGGGUUGGCCGAUGGCUGAUUAGCUCGUUGGUGGGGUAAAGGUCUACCAAGGCGGCGCUCAGUAUCUGGUCUGAGAGGACGACCAGCCAAACGGGGACUGAGACACGGCCCAGACUCCUACGGGAGGCAGCAGUGGGGAAUUUUGGACAAUGGGCGAAAGCCUGAUCCAGCAAUGCCGCGUGUGGGAAGAAGGCCUUCGGGUUGUAAAGCACUUUUGUCCGGAAAGAAAUCCUUGGCUCUAAAACAGUCGGGGGAUGACGGUACCGGAAGAAUAAGCACCGGCUAACUACGUG